UUGAUCAUGGCUCAGAUUGAACGCUGGCGGCAGGCCUAACACAUGCAAGUCGAACGGUAACAGGAAGCAGCUUGCUGCUUCGCUGACGAGUGGCGGACGGGUGAGUAAUGUCUGGGAAACUGCCUGAUGGAGGGGGAUAACUACUGGAAACGGUAGCUAAUACCGCAUAACGUCGCAAGACCAAAGAGGGGGACCUUCGGGCCUCUUGCCAUCGGAUGUGCCCAGAUGGGAUUAGCUAGUAGGUGGGGUAACGGCUCACCUAGGCGACGAUCCCUAGCUGGUCUGAGAGGAUGACCAGCCACACUGGAACUGAGACACGGUCCAGACUCCUACGGGAGGCAGCAGUGGGGAAUAUUGCACAAUGGGCGCAAGCCUGAUGCAGCCAUGCCGCGUGUAUGAAGAAGGCCUUCGGGUUGUAAAGUACUUUCAGCGGGGAGGAAGGCGAUAAGGUUAAUAACCUUGUCGAUUGACGUUACCCGCAGAAGAAGCACCGGCUAACUCCGUGCCAGCAGCCGCGGUAAUACGGAGGGUGCAAGCGUUAAUCGGAAUUACUGGGCGUAAAGCGCACGCAGGCGGUCUGUCAAGUCGGAUGUGAAAUCCCCGGGCUCAACCUGGGAACUGCAUUCGAAACUGGCAGGCUAGAGUCUUGUAGAGGGGGGUAGAAUUCCAGGUGUAGCGGUGAAAUGCGUAGAGAUCUGGAGGAAUACCGGUGGCGAAGGCGGCCCCCUGGACAAAGACUGACGCUCAGGUGCGAAAGCGUGGGGAGCAAACAGGAUUAGAUACCCUGGUAGUCCACGCCGUAAACGAUGUCGACUUGGAGGUUGUGCCCUUGAGGCGUGGCUUCCGGAGCUAACGCGUUAAGUCGACCGCCUGGGGAGUACGGCCGCAAGGUUAAAACUCAAAUGAAUUGACGGGGGCCCGCACAAGCGGUGGAGCAUGUGGUUUAAUUCGAUGCAACGCGAAGAACCUUACCUACUCUUGACAUCCAGAGAACUUUCCAGAGAUGGAUUGGUGCCUUCGGGAACUCUGAGACAGGUGCUGCAUGGCUGUCGUCAGCUCGUGUUGUGAAAUGUUGGGUUAAGUCCCGCAACGAGCGCAACCCUUAUCCUUUGUUGCCAGCGGUCCGGCCGGGAACUCAAAGGAGACUGCCAGUGAUAAACUGGAGGAAGGUGGGGAUGACGUCAAGUCAUCAUGGCCCUUACGAGUAGGGCUACACACGUGCUACAAUGGCGCAUACAAAGAGAAGCGACCUCGCGAGAGCAAGCGGACCUCAUAAAGUGCGUCGUAGUCCGGAUUGGAGUCUGCAACUCGACUCCAUGAAGUCGGAAUCGCUAGUAAUCGUGGAUCAGAAUGCCACGGUGAAUACGUUCCCGGGCCUUGUACACACCGCCCGUCACACCAUGGGAGUGGGUUGCAAAAGAAGUAGGUAGCUUAACCUUCGGGAGGGCGCUUACCACUUUGUGAUUCAUGACUGGGGUGAAGUCGUAACAAGGUAACCGUAGGGGAACCUGCGGUUGGAUCACCUCCUUACCUUAAAGAA
rnacentral:rRNA from 1 species